UACAGAGGUCUCAAGCGUUGUUCGGAUUCAUUGGGCGUAAAGGGUGCGUAGGCGGCGCGGUAAGUCGGGUGUGAAAUCUUGGAGCUUAACUCCGAAACUGCAUUCGAUACUGCGGUGCUUGAGGACUGGAGAGGAGACUGGAAUUCACGGUGUAGCAGUGAAAUGCGUAGAGAUCGUGAGGAAGACCAGUGGCGAAGGCGGGUCUCUGGACAGUUCCUGACACUGAGGCACGAAGGCCAGGGGAGCAAACGGG
rnacentral:rRNA from 1 species